ensembl:lncRNA
UGAAAUGUAAUUGGUUUACGAGAUGAUUCGCUCAUAGAUUGCUGUCCAAUCCUUCCCUCCCUCAUACAUGAGUGCACAAAUCGUCUCUCUCCUCACCCCAAUCUGGGCUCGAGCCAAGGACCCUCUGCACACAUCAACCACAGUCACUCACGAAGCAGAGCAAGGUGAAAAUCAUCACUCCCCAAUCAGUCAACAAUCAAUCAUCAAUCAGAAGACACACCUCCUCCUAUUUCCUACCCUAUCACAGUUCCUUCCCCAUGGUUUAAAAACCCCAUAAUUUGUUUGCUCUAGAGCUCAAUUCUAUCUGUAAAUGCCAUGGCUGUAGGUCUCUGUGUCUCACUCUCGCUUUGUGUCUUAACCUCUCUUUUGUUUGAGCGUCUCCAUAGCACUUUGUCAUCACCUGUAAGUAUUGUUUUUGGUUAUGGUGUUUGUUGCUGGUGGGAAAAGGGGGAAACCAAGACAAGUCGCCCAUGGGCAUACACUACCCGUAGGUGAACUUUGUUAAAUACACUAGUUAGAACUGGGCGGGCCACCCACUGUAUUUUUGGUUAGUUAGUUUGCUGUUGUUAAAGUAGGCUAGUCUAGCUUAGGGGUGUUUUUGUAUAUUUAUUGUUUCUUUCCUUGGGUCCAGCUCAGCCCCUUUUCCUGCUCCCCCCCAUUACCGUGUGUUUAUAAAUAAACCUGG